GAAGGCCUUAGGGUUGUAAAGCUCUUUCGCCUGGGAUGAUAAUGACAGUACCUGGUAAAGAAACCCCGGCUAACUCCGUGCCAGCAGCCGCGGUAAUACGGAGGGGGUUAGCGUUGUUCGGAAUUACUGGGCGUAAAGCGCGCGUAGGCGGAUUGGAAAGUUGGGGGUGAAAUCCCGGGGCUCAACCCCGGAACUGCCUCCAAAACUCCCGGUCUUGAGUUCGAGAGAGGUGAGUGGAAUUCCGAGUGUAGAGGUGAAAUUCGUAGAUAUUCGGAAGAACACCAGUGGCGAAGGCGGCUCACUGGCUCGAUACUGACGCUGAGGUGCGAAAGUGUGGGGAGCAAACAGGAUUAGAUACCCUGGUAGUCCACACCGUAAACGAUGAAUGCCAGACGUCGGGCAGCAUGCUGUUCGGUGACACACCUAACGGAUUAAGCAUUCCGCCUGGGGAGUACGGUCGCAAGAUUAAAACUC
rnacentral:rRNA from 1 species